rnacentral:rRNA from 1 species
AGAGUUUGAUCCUGGCUCAGAUUGAACGCUGGCGGCAUGGUUAAGACAUGCAAGUCGAGCGCGAAAGCCCCUUCGGGGGUGAGUAGAGCGGCGCAAGGGCGAGGAAUACGUUCCUACGUACCCCGAGGUCAGGGAUAGCCCAGGGAAACCUGGAUUAAUACCUGAUGUGGUCCUUCGGGAUCAAAGGCUUGCUGCCUCGGGAGCGGGGAACGUCCUAUCAGGUUGUUGGUGGGGUAACGGCUCACCAAGCCGAAGACGGGUAGCGGGUGUGAGAGCAUGACCCGCCGCAUCGGGACUGAGACACUGCCCGGACUCCUACGGGAGGCUGCAGUAACGAAUCUUCCGCAAUGCGCGAAAGCGUGACGGAGCAAUGCCGCGUGCAGGAUGAAGCCCCUCGGGGUGUAAACUGCUGUCAGGGUUUAGGAACACAAUGACCAGACCCAAAGGAAGGGCCGGCUAACUUCGUGCCAGCAGCCGCGGUAAUACGAAGGGCCCGAGCGUUAAUCGGAAUCAUUGGGCUUAAAGCGUACGUAGGCGGGCGCGCAGGCACCUUGUGAAAUCCCUCGGCUCAACCGAGGAAUUGCUUGGUGAACCGCGUGCCUUGAGGCAAGUAGGGGCUGUCGGAACGAUAGGUGGAGCGGUGAAAUGC